rnacentral:miRNA from 1 species
UUAUGGAAGAUUGUGUGGUUGAAAAUAUGAGAGAGAAAAAUGAAAUGUUCAUAUUUUUAAUCACACAAUCUUCCAUAA